AUCUGGAUAGCUUAAAUUAAAGUUUAAUAUUGAAGAUAUUAAGAUAAGUUAAUACUUUCUAGAUA
rnacentral:tRNA from 1 species